GUGGGGAAUAUUGGACAAUGGGCGAAAGCCUGAUCCAGCAAUGCCGUGUGUGUGAAGAAGGUCUUCGGAUUGUAAAGCACUUUCGACGGGGACGAUGAUGACGGUACCCGUAGAAGAAGCCCCGGCUAACUUCGUGCCAG
rnacentral:rRNA from 1 species